rnacentral:rRNA from 1 species
CAUGCAAGUCGAGCGGUAGCACAGAGAGCUUGCUCUCGGGUGACGAGCGGCGGACGGGUGAGUAAUGUCUGGGAAACUGCCUGAUGGAGGGGGAUAACUACUGGAAACGGUAGCUAAUACCGCAUAAUGUCGCAAGACCAAAGUGGGGGACCUUCGGGCCUCAUGCCAUCAGAUGUGCCCAGAUGGGAUUAGCUAGUAGGUGGGGUAACGGCUCACCUAGGCGACGAUCCCUAGCUGGUCUGAGAGGAUGACCAGCCACACUGGAACUGAGACACGGUCCAGACUCCUACGGGAGGCAGCAGUGGGGAAUAUUGCACAAUGGGCGCAAGCCUGAUGCAGCCAUGCCGCGUGUGUGAAGAAGGCCUUCGGGUUGUAAAGCACUUUCAGCGGGGAGGAAGGCGGUAAGGUUAAUAACCUUGGCGAUUGACGUUACCCGCAGAAGAAGCACCGGCUAACUCCGUGCCAGCAGCCGCGGUAAUACGGAGGGUGCAAGCGUUAAUCGGAAUUACUGGGCGUAAAGCGCACGCAGGCGGUCUGUCAAGUCGGAUGUGAAAUCCCCGGGCUCAACCUGGGAACUGCAUUCGAAACUGGCAGGCUAGAGUCUUGUAGAGGGGGGUAGAAUUCCAGGUGUAGCGGUGAAAUGCGUAGAGAUCUGGAGGAAUACCGGUGGCGAAGGCGGCCCCCUGGACAAAGACUGACGCUCAGGUGCGAAAGCGUGGGGAGCAAACAGGAUUAGAUACCCUGGUAGUCCACGCCGUAAACGAUGUCGAUUUGGAGGUUGUGCCCUUGAGGCGUGGCUUCCGGAGCUAACGCGUUAAAUCGACCGCCUGGGGAGUACGGCCGCAAGGUUAAAACUCAAAUGAAUUGACGGGGGCCCGCACAAGCGGUGGAGCAUGUGGUUUAAUUCGAUGCAACGCGAAGAACCUUACCUGGUCUUGACAUCCACAGAACUUUCCAGAGAUGGAUUGGUGCCUUCGGGAACUGUGAGACAGGUGCUGCAUGGCUGUCGUCAGCUCGUGUUGUGAAAUGUUGGGUUAAGUCCCGCAACGAGCGCAACCCUUAUCCUUUGUUGCCAGCGGUCCGGCCGGGAACUCAAAGGAGACUGCCAGUGAUAAACUGGAGGAAGGUGGGGAUGACGUCAAGUCAUCAUGGCCCUUACGACCAGGGCUACACACGUGCUACAAUGGCAUAUACAAAGAGAAGCGACCUCGCGAGAGCAAGCGGACCUCAUAAAGUAUGUCGUAGUCCGGAUUGGAGUCUGCAACUCGACUCCAUGAAGUCGGAAUCGCUAGUAAUCGUAGAUCAGAAUGCUACGGUGAAUACGUUCCCGGGCCUUGUACACACCGCCCGUCACACCAUGGGAGUGGGUUGCAAAAGAAGUAGGUAGCUUAACCUUCGGGAGGGCGCUUACC